UGACUGCGGGACCCUUGCACAAAAAUAUGUCUCUGUCCCCAACUGUCCCGGCCCUCGCCGCUUCCUUCAGAGCUCCAGUUCCUAGUCCCCUCGGCCACCUCCGGUUUGACCCCCGUCCUGGGAAGAGCAGUAUUGGGUCUCAGUGACAAGACAGUGACCAAGCCGUGACUAUCCCAGCGGUUGGGAGACAGAGCUGUCAUGUGCAUGCUCCAGGGAGGCAGUGACAUGAGCUUCAGCCGGCUCCAGGAGGAGGUGACAGAGGGCAAGAAGGAGGAAGUCCCUGAAACAUUGGCAUGUUUCCACACAAGACGGUGCUGGUGGAUGUGCUUGGCACU